rnacentral:rRNA from 1 species
UACGUAGGGACCAAGCGUUGUUCGGAUUUACUGGGCGUAAAGGGUGCGUAGGCGGCUCAGUAAGUCGGGUGUGAAACCCUCAGGCUCAACCUGGGGACGCCACUCGAUACUGCUGUGGCUAGAGUCCAGUAGAGGAGUGUGGAAUUCCCGGUGUAGCGGUGAAAUGCGCAGAUAUCGGGAGGAACACCAACGGCGAAGGCAGCACUCUGGGCUGGAACUGACGCUGAGGAGCGAAAGCGUGGGUAGCAACAG